UACGUAGGGACCGAGCGUUGUCCGGAAUCAUUGGGCGUAAAGAGCGUGUAGGCGGCCACUUAAGUCCUGCGUGAAAUCUUGCGGCUCAACCGCAAGCGGUCGUGGGAAACUGGGUGGCUAGGAGUGCGGGAGAGGAGAGUGGAAUUCCUGGUGUAGCGGUGGAAUGCGCAGAUAUCAGGAAGAACACCCGUGGCGAAGGCGGCUCUCUGGAACGCAACUGACGCUGAGACGCGAAAGCGUGGGGAGCGAACAGG
rnacentral:rRNA from 1 species